GGCUGGUCUGAUGUUGGUGGGUUAUCAGAACUUAUUAGCAUUAGUGUCACUAAAGUUGGUAUAUGACCCCCUACUACUAAAUUUGGCUGAUAA
rnacentral:Y_RNA from 1 species